GCGAGAAGAAAAAAGAAGGGAACAAGAAACGCGCGUUACCGCGGGGAUCAAUCGUCACUGUAAAUUUUUGCACACGUGCACCGCGCGUGACACGAUCUUCGAUUUGUGAGUUCCAAGCCGAGUUCGUCGGAACUUUCGCUCCCGCGGAUUCUCGGGGAAGUAAUUUCCGGAUGGAAAACGGACAACUGAAAAAUGACGACACAUCUAACAAAAACUGACUAUUCAGGACGGCGAACGCUAUUGACACAGCCACUUCCGGGAACCCAUCCAACGCAGAAACGGCUGUUCUUUCGGAGACGUGGGAUUCCGUUAUCGAGGCCACCUACCGUGCAUAAAAGCUUCGAUGAAAAACUUUCCCAGCAGCAGCAGCAGCAGCUCGUAGCCAUUGUAAUGUACUCGCUAACGCUCCCCAUAAAAGGUUGCGAUAUACAUUUAUAUUCAGGCGCCACCGCGCCCUCCUACCGCCAAGUAUCAGAUUCUUUAAUUAAAUUGAACUCAGCUUCAUCCUGAUAAAAAUACCUGAGAAAUUAAUAGCUUUCGAGUUAAAAGCUGCUAACGACCGUCCGAAAGUAAAAAACGAAGACGAUAUCGCAAAUUAAGUUUCGGCACGAGUAGAUAGCAGAGUCUUUUUCAUUAAAUUUCAAGUAGGCUUCUCAUAACAUUUGCAUUCGGGAGUUAUGAAAUGCAGAAAUAUAAGACCCGAAUAUAUCAAUACAAAAUUGAAAUAAAAUGUUAUUACAUUUUAUUGCACGCGCAUGUCUAAUGUCACUGUGAGGCCCGUAAUAUUAUUAUGCAAAUCAAAUGCAAAGCAUUUUCUCCCGUAGCGCACGUCCGGAAAUUAAAUUUGCGCGGAGAGGUGUGCACGAACACUCACGGAGUAUUAUUGCUUUUCACACCCGCAUGCAGAAAUUUACCCGCAAAUAAUACUUCUCCGCCACACCACUAAGAAGUAAUUACAUUAAUGCGUCCCUUCAGUUGUAGCGCGACCGCGCAUUUUCAUUAAAAACUGCCUCUCUGUGCAAACGCGUGUGAUACGCUUCUCAAAACCAACGUAUGAUAAUGUGGCAAUCCUCGUUAAGGUUUCCUCAUUAAGGACAAUAUGAGAAUAUAUGUUUUCAGCGAAUGAGCAGAUGUAAAAACUGUAAAAGGAACAGCAGAGUGUACGCCGAUACCAGUUUCAUUUAUGCCGCUACUUUAUUAAGCAAGAUGGAAGCGGAAAUUAUGCUUAUUAUGCUCGCGCAAUUUCUUCGUUAAAAUUGCACGGAAUAUUUUCCUUGCAUUAUCUUUUCAUCGAGAGAACAAUUAACUUUAUUCUUUCGUCUAAAUUUCUUUACUUCCGGACGAUAACAAGAACGCGCUUCAGAAAAUUGCGACAGAUUAUGUGCUUUAUGCACAACCUAUCUCUCUCAAUUUCCAUACUAUUACAAUUCACAAUCAACCAUAUAGAACAACAUGUGCAGAAUAAUAUUUAUUAUUUAUUAUAUACACGAUGAAAUUGUUCAAUUUUACAUGUUUGCAUACACGAAAUAUUUUACUAAUAAAUCUAUCUGUAGAGAAAAAAAUUUCUGUUGAUAUUAUACAACCGAAUCCGAAAUUCUAUUAUCGAAUAUUUAUAUAUAUAAUAUGAAAUGUACAUGGCGUUAUAUUUUACAAAUGUCUAUUAAAGUUUCUUUGUUGUACAGA